rnacentral:rRNA from 1 species
UACGUAGGGUGCAAGCGUUGUCCGGAAUUAUUGGGCGUAAAGAGCUUGUAGGCGGUUUGUCGCGUCUGCUGUGAAAUUUCGGGGCUCAACCCCGAACUUGCAGUGGGUACGGGCAGACUAGAGUGUGGUAGGGGAGACUGGAAUUCCUGGUGUAGCGGUGAAAUGCGCAGAUAUCAGGAGGAACACCCGUGGCGAAGGCGGCCCUCUGGCUCGACCCUGACGCUGAGGCGCGAAAGCGUGGGGAGCGAACGGG